UACGAAGGGGGCUAGCGUUGCUCGGAAUCACUGGGCGUAAAGCGCACGUAGGCGGAUUGUUAAGUCAGGGGUGAAAUCCUGGAGCUCAACUCCAGAGCUGCCUUUGAUACUGGCGAUCUUGAGUCCGGGAGAGGUGAGUGGAACUGCGAGUGUAGAGGUGAAAUUCGUAGAUAUUCGCAAGAACACCAGUGGCGAAGGCGGCUCACUGGCCCGGUACUGACGCUGAGGUGCGAAAGCGUGGGGAGCAAACAGG
rnacentral:rRNA from 1 species